rnacentral:rRNA from 1 species
UCGCGCAUCAGCCACGGCGCGGUGAAUACGUUCCCGGGCCUUGUACACACCGCCCGUCAAGCCAUGGGAGUCGGGAGUGCCUGAAGUGCGUGAGCGCGAGCAGCGCCCUAGGGCAAAACCGAUGACUGGGGCUAAGUCGUAACAAGGUAAC